CCUCCUUAGAGUUUGAUCAUGGCUCAGGAUGAACGCUAGCGGCAGGCCUAACACAUGCAAGUCGAGGGGUAACGGGGUGCUUGCACCGCCGACGACCGGCGCACGGGUGAGUAACGCGUAUACAAUCUACCUUAUACUGAGGAAUAGCCCAGAGAAAUUUGGAUUAAUGCUUCAUGGUAUGUUUACUUCGCAUGGAGUAGAUAGUAAAGGUUACGGUAUAAGAUGAGUAUGCGUCCUAUUAGCUAGAUGGUAAGGUAACGGCUUACCAUGGCAACGAUAGGUAGGGGCCCUGAGAGGGGGAUCCCCCACACUGGUACUGAGACACGGACCAGACUCCUACGGGAGGCAGCAGUGAGGAAUAUUGGACAAUGGAGGCAACUCUGAUCCAGCCAUGCCGCGUGCAGGAAGACUGCCCUAUGGGUUGUAAACUGCUUUUAUACAGGAAGAAACACUCCCUCGAGAAGGGAGCUUGACGGUACUGUAAGAAUAAGGAUCGGCUAACUCCGUGCCAGCAGCCGCGGUAAUACGGAGGAUCCAAGCGUUAUCCGGAAUCAUUGGGUUUAAAGGGUCCGUAGGUGGAUAAUUAAGUCAGAGGUGAAAGUUUGCGGCUCAACCGUAAAAUUGCCUUUGAUACUGGUUAUCUUGAGUUAUUGUGAAGUAGUUAGAAUAUGUAGUGUAGCGGUGAAAUGCAUAGAUAUUACAUAGAAUACCAAUUGCGAAGGCAGAUUACUAACAAUAUACUGACACUGAUGGACGAAAGCGUGGGUAGCGAACAGGAUUAGAUACCCUGGUAGUCCACGCCGUAAACGAUGGAUACUAGCUGUUGGGCUUCGGCUCAGUGGCUAAGCGAAAGUGAUAAGUAUCCCACCUGGGGAGUACGUUCGCAAGAAUGAAACUCAAAGGAAUUGACGGGGGCCCGCACAAGCGGUGGAGCAUGUGGUUUAAUUCGAUGAUACGCGAGGAACCUUACCAGGGCUUAAAUGUAGAUUGACAGGUUUAGAGAUAGACUUUUCUUCGGACAAUUUACAAGGUGCUGCAUGGUUGUCGUCAGCUCGUGCCGUGAGGUGUCAGGUUAAGUCCUAUAACGAGCGCAACCCCUGUUGUUAGUUGCCAGCGAGUCAUGUCGGGAACUCUAACAAGACUGCCAGUGCAAACUGUGAGGAAGGUGGGGAUGACGUCAAAUCAUCACGGCCCUUACGUCCUGGGCUACACACGUGCUACAAUGGUAUAUACAGAGAGCAGCCACCUGGUGACAGGGAGCGAAUCUAUAAAGUAUAUCACAGUUCGGAUCGGAGUCUGCAACUCGACUCCGUGAAGCUGGAAUCGCUAGUAAUCGGAUAUCAGCCAUGAUCCGGUGAAUACGUUCCCGGGCCUUGUACACACCGCCCGUCAAGCCAUGGAAGCUGGGAGUACCUGAAGUCGGUCACCGCAAGGAGCCGCCUA
rnacentral:rRNA from 1 species